GCAUUGGGCCCCAUGCCAAAUUUACUGUGACAUUAACUGAGCAGUUGAGAUCAUCUACAGAGAAGAAUAUCUUGGCAUUUCCAAGGUUAAGAUAACUGGUACCCAAGGGACUAUGACUCACUCAUCCCUCAAGGCAAGGACUCAUAGAUUCUGCCUGCCAAUUCCAUUCUGAUUCUCUGACUCAUCAGUUUAGGUUUACUGUGGCUGGCUAGUUGAUGCUAUUGCUAAGCAACAUUUGAUGUUCACCAAAAGGAAAAACUUGGUCAAGAAGAUA